GAUGAAUGCUGGCGGCGUGCCUAAUACAUGCAAGUCGAGCGGCAGCGCGUCUAGUUUACUAGAUGGCGGCGAGCGGCGGACGGCUGAGUAACGCGUAGGAAUGUGCCCCAAAGUGAGGAAUAACUGCCCGAAAAGGGUAGCUAAAUGCCGCAUAUGGUCUUCGGAUUAAAGGAUUUAUCCGCUUUGGGAGCAGCCUGCGUACGAUUAGAUAGUUGGUGAGGUAAUGGCUCACCAAGUCGACGAUCGUUAGCUGGUCUGAGAGGAUGAUCAGCCAGACUGGAACUGAGACACGGUCCAGACUCCUACGGGAGGC
rnacentral:rRNA from 1 species